GUUAAUCGGGCUUUUGGCUCCGGGAGUUUCCUUUAAACUCGCCGGCUUUGUUUCUGGAGGGGUUUCGACCCUUGCCGGCUUUAAAUCUUGUCUUAGGCUGUGUAAUAGGUACUGGUUUCAAUCUUGAAUAACAGAGAUAGAAUUAGUGAAUGCUAUCUCAAUCAGUUUAGUUUUAGAUGUUUAGUUUUAGAUGUUUAGUCGUGGGUAAUUUAGGAUGGUUUCAAUCUUUGGCUUGGUCUUCAUAUGAGAAUUGGAUGUUUUGUUGGCCUUUUUCUAAGGUCUGGUAGUACGUCUUAGACGUUUGGUCCGGAUUUUGGGGCUCUCAGUCUCUAGUUCUAUAUCAUUGGUGUAAUCAGGUAUGGUAACAUGGUCUUGCUGUUUGUGGUUUGUUUUGUGGCUUGUGCUUCUCUUGAUUGUGGAAGCUCCAGACUAGGUUUAUUUGCUUGCUCUGAGUUAGGGAGUUGAUCUUCCUUCAGCUUUCCUUCUCGUUGUAGUUGGUGUUUCCCGUCUUGGUUUAUUUCGCAGACUCCUCCUUGUUCUCUCGUCUGCGUUACUUGGGUUUGAAAUUGAGAAGCGGGUCGUUGAAGUUGUUACCUUCCUUUCAAGCUUUAGGAUCUCAAUGGUCGAGACUCUUGCAGAAGUUUCGGGUUGAUUCAAUUGCACUCAUGGCUCUGCCGGUCGCGCGUUAAGUGUAAAGGUUCCUGGGACAGGGGUUAAGUGAGAGAUUCGUUCAACCCUCUCUUAGUCUUUUAUUUUCUAUUAGAAUUUCUGCUAGAUUUGCUCCUAUUAAGUCCUUGUUAGUUUGUUGCCAAUCUUUGAUCCUUUCCAGCUUGCUUACGACAGCUUAUAAGCUUAGUUUGUUAUCUUUUUCAGAACUUGUAAUAGGCUUGACUGUUUACUAGUUGUAUUGGCUCCAUAAUCUAUAAAGAACACUAUUGUGAAAAAAAAAAAAAGAACAGAGCAAAAACAAAAACCUGAGUAAAGAUAAAGAUA
rnacentral:lncRNA from 1 species